CAUAAACCAUGAGAUCAUGACCUGAGCCGAAGUCAGACGCCCAACCGACCGAGCCACCCAGGAGGCUUUAUACCCAGGGCAGAGCCCGAUCGGGCUUCAGCUCACGACCCCGAGAUUAAGACCUGAGCUGAGAU